GAUGAACGCUGCGGCGUGCCUAAUACCUGCAAGUCGAGCGAACAGACGAGGAGCUUGCUCCUCUGACGUUAGCGGCGGACGGGUGAGUAACACGUGGAUAACCUACCUAUAAGACUGGGAUAACUUCGGGAAACCGGAGCUAAUACCGGAUAAUAUAUUGAACCGCAUGGUUCAAUAGUGAAAGACGGUUUUGCUGUCACUUAUAGAUGGAUCCGCGCCGCAUUAGCUAGUUGGUAAGGUAACGGCUUACCAAGGCAACGAUGCGUAGCCGACCUGAGAGGGUGAUCGGCCACACUGGAACUGAGACACGGUCCAGACUCCUACGGGAGGCAGCAGUAGGGAAUCUUCCGCAAAGGGCGAAAGCCUGACGGAGCAACGCCGCGUGAGUGAUGAAGGUCUUCGGAUCGUAAAACUCUGUUAUUAGGGAAGAACAAAUGUGUAAGUAACUAUGCACGUCUUGACGGUACCUAAUCAGAAAGCCACGGCUAACUACGUG
rnacentral:rRNA from 1 species